UAAUACGUAGGAGGCGAGCGUUGUCCGGAGUUACUGGGCGUAAAGCGCACGCAGGCGGUCAGAUCAGUCUGGAGUGACAGUCGUCGGCUUAACCGACGAAGUGUUCUGGAAACUGUCUGACUUGAGGGCUUCAGAGGGACACGGAAUUCCGGGUGGAGUGGUGAAAUGCGUAGAUAUCCGGAGGAACACCAAUGGCGAAGGCAGUGUCCUGGGAAGUACCUGACGCUCAGGUGCGAAAGCUAGGGGAGCGAACAGGAUUAGAUACCCUGGUAGUCCUAGCCGUAAACGAUGACCACUAGACGUUGGGGGUAUCGACCCCUUCAGUGUCGCAGUUAACACGAUAAGUGGUCCGCCUGGGGAGUACGGUCGCAAGAUUA
rnacentral:rRNA from 1 species